rnacentral:lncRNA from 1 species
AACUGCAGUAAAAAUCAAAUCGUCUUUUUUUGUUUGAUGUUAAUGCUGCAGGUACAGAAGGUCUUCAGUCAGAGUGCAGUGUUUUCCAGUCUAACUCCCAGUUCCCUCUAUCAAUUUUUUCUUCGAACGGAGAAGGAGACUUUCGCUGAUAGUUCACCUGUCACAAUUAACAUCACUACAGGUGAGCACACAUGCCUUCCAGCUCAUUUCUAUUUUUAUUUUCUUUUUUUAAUGAAUGCAUAUUGUUGUUGUUUUUUUUUUUUUUUUGGUGUGGCAGCUCCUGACUCAGUGGAAGUGUUUCUUGUCAAUAAGACCACAUCAUCUAUAUGCAUCAGCUGGAGCACCCCCAGGGGAUUGGUUAGUGCAUUCAUCUUGUCAGUCAAGAACAGAACAUCCAUUCAGGAGCUGAUCAUCUCUAAUGAGAAGCGCAGAUCGUACAGCUUUAAAGGCCUUGAUCCUGGAACCCUGUACACUGUUGAAGUGACUACUAUAAGUGGUAAAAGAAGGAGUAAACCUGCAAACAUGAUCCUCCAUACCAGUGAGUUAGCAUCCAAACCAUACCUAACAUUGGCCGAAUGAAGUGUGUAUAAAUCUGGGUUCAUUUAUUUUGCAGGAAAUACAGUCAGAGAAGAAAACUGUGAUUGUAAAAGCAAAUGCUUGAGUAAAAAAAAAUUUGCUCUUUUAUUGAUUUUUUUCAUAUUGUUUAUUCAUUGUUAUUGUCAUCCAAAUUUUGUGAAGUAUUGCGUUUCAAUAAAAAACAGCCUAUAGUCAAUCCAACUGUUCUUUAUUGCUAUUUUUACGCUAUUGUGGUGAUAUUAGAAUUUAAAGAUCUAAGUGCAACCUUUUCUCCUGAAUGGUCUUAUAGUACCCGUGUUUUACUGUC